rnacentral:rRNA from 1 species
AGAGUUUGAUCCUGGCUCAGGAUGAACGCUAGCGACAGGCUUAACACAUGCAAGUCGAGGGGCAGCGGGGAGCGAAGCUUGCUUUGCUCCGCCGGCGACCGGCGCACGGGUGAGUAACACGUAUGCGACCUGCCCUUUACAGAGGGAUAAUCGGGAGAAAUUCCGUCUAAUACCUCAUAACACAUACCGACCGCAUGAUCGGUAUGUCAAAGGAGCGAUCCGGUAAAGGAUGGGCAUGCGGCGCAUUAGGUAGUUGGCGGUGUAACGGACCACCAAGCCGACGAUGCGUAGGGGUUCUGAGAGGAAGGUCCCCCACACUGGUACUGAGACACGGACCAGACUCCUACGGGAGGCAGCAGUGAGGAAUAUUGGUCAAUGGGCGAGAGCCUGAACCAGCCAAGUCGCGUGAGGGAAGACGGCCCUAAGGGUUGUAAACCUCUUUUGUCGGGGAGCAAGAAAGCGUACGUGUACGCUACUGAGAGUACCCGAAGAAAAAGCAUCGGCUAACUCCGUGCCAGCAGCCGCGGUAAUACGGAGGAUGCGAGCGUUAUCCGGAUUUAUUGGGUUUAAAGGGUGCGUAGGCGGGCUUUUAAGUCAGCGGUAAAAAUUCGGGGCUCAACCCCGUCCGGCCGUUGAAACUGGGGGCCUUGAGUGGGCGAGAAGAAGGCGGAAUGCGUGGUGUAGCGGUGAAAUGCAUAGAUAUCACGCAGAACUCCGAUUGCGAAGGCAGCAUACCGGCGCCCGACUGACGCUCAUGCACGAAAGCGUGGGUAUCGAACAGGAUUAGAUACCCUGGUAGUCCACGCAGUAAACGAUGAAUACUAAUUGUUCGGGUCGAAUGAGGCCUGAGUGAUACAGCGAAAGCGUUAAGUAUUCCACCUGGGGAGUACGCCGGCAACGGUGAAACUCAAAGGAAUUGAC